UGCUCUGCCUCAUCCUUGUCU
rnacentral:miRNA from 1 species